GACGAACGCUGGCGGCGUGCCUAACACAUGCAAGUCGAGCGAUGAAAUCCCUUCGGGGAUGGAUUAGCGGCGGACGGGUGAGUAACACGUGGGCAACCUACCUCAAAGUGGGGGAUAGCCUCCCGAAAGGGAGAUUAAUACCGCAUAACAUCAGUUUUACACAUGAAGAACUAAUUAAAGGAGUAAUCCGUUUUGAGAUGGGCCCGCGGCGCAUUAGCUAGUUGGUGAGGUAAUGGCUCACCAAGGCGACGAUGCGUAGCCGACCUGAGAGGGUGAUCGGCCACAUUGGAACUGAGACACGGUCCAGACUCCUACGGGAGGCAGCAGUGGGGAAUAUUGCACAAUGGGGGAAACCCUGAUGCAGCAACGCCGCGUGAGUGAUGAAGGUCUUCGGAUUGUAAAGCUCUGUCUUUUGGGACGAUAAUGACGGUACCAAAGGAGGAAGCCACGGCUAACUACGUGCCAGCCGCCGCGGUAAGAC
rnacentral:rRNA from 1 species